rnacentral:tRNA from 1 species
GUCUCUGUGGCGCAAUUGGUUAGCGAGUUAGACUGUAAUCUAAAGGUUGGUGGUUCAAGCCCACCCAGGGACG